rnacentral:rRNA from 1 species
CAGCAGCCGCGGGAAUACGAGGGGGGCAAGCGUUGUUCGGAAUUAUUGGGCGUAAAGGGCGCGUAGGCGGUUUGGCAAGUUUGGUGUGAAAUCUUCGGGCUCAACUCGAAGUCUGCACCGAAAACUGCCGGGCUUGAGUAUGGGAGAGGUGAGUGGAAUUUCCGGUGUAGCGGUGAAAUGCGUAGAUAUCGGAGGGAACACCUGUGGCGAAAGCGGCUCACUGGACCAUUACUGACGCUGAGGCGCGAAAGCUAGGGGAGCAAACAGGAUUAGAUACCCCUGUAGUCCCUGUCUCUUAUAC